GUUUAUUUCUGUUUAUAAUUCCAGAUUGCAGUCUGUCAUUGAGGGGAGGCAAGACAGGAGCAAAAGGCAGGAACUUGAAGGCAAUGUUACCUCCAACCAAGGAACUCAUUUCACAGCCAAAGAAGGGAAUCUUCGGAAGAUGCCUCCUCUGAUGUGACCCAGAAACUUUCUGACUCAGGUAUGAGACUGGGUGAGGGAGGAGGGCGAGGCAUGCCACUUACAAAAGUGAAAGUGAAUUGUUUUCAUUCUGCAUGCUAAGAACCCACCAUGAUAUCCUGAAGACAAGAUAUAAAAUUAGAGAAUCCUGCCAGUAGAAACUUAUCUGUUCAAGAGAAGAGGAACACCUUCUAAGUCCCCAGAAAGACUUCUGGACCCUCGUUUGACCUCUCUUUAAUGAAGCCUGC
rnacentral:lncRNA from 1 species